AACAAGUGGCGACUGUCUGAGUUC
rnacentral:piRNA from 1 species